rnacentral:rRNA from 1 species
GGACGGGGAGCACUACGAACGGGUGGAGCCUGUCGGUUUAAUUGGAUUCAACGCCGGAAAUCUCGACCCGGGGGCGACAGACAAUAUGAAGGUCAGGCUGAAGACCUUACCCGAUUAGCUGAGAGGUGGUGCAUGGCCGUCGUCAGUUCGUACUGUGAAGCAUCCUGUUAAGUCAGGCAACGAGCGAGACCCACGUCCACAGUUGCCAGCAUACCCUCUGGGGUGAUGGGUACACUGUGGAGACCGCCGCUGCUAAAGCGGAGGAAGGAGUGGGCAACGGUAGGUCAGUAUGCCCCGAAUCUCCCGGGCUACACGCGGGCUACAAUGGUUGGUACAAUGGGCAUCUACCCCGAAAGGGGAAGGAAAUCUCUUAAAGCCAAUCGUAGUUCGGAUUGAGGGCUGCAACUCGCCCUCAUGAAGCUGGAAUCCGUAGUAAUCGCGUUUCAACAGAACGCGGUGAAUACGUCCCUGCUCCUU